rnacentral:tmRNA from 1 species
GGCUCGCCUGAACCCAGCCUGUCCGGACGGCGUGGUUCGGGUCAAAAUCAAAUGACCGGACUAAGUAUGUAGAACUUGCUGUAGAGGACUUUCGGACGCGGGUUCGAUUCCCGCCGGCUCCACCA